AGAUAAUAGAUACCCUGGUAGUCCUGGCCCUAAACGAUGUCUACUAGAUCGUGGCGGCACUGACGCCGUCAUGGUCGAAGCAAAAGUGUUAAGUAGACCGCCUGGGAAGUACGGUCGCAAGGCUAAAACUCAAAGAAAUUGACGGGGGCUCACACAAGCGGUGGAGCAUGUGGUUCAAUUCGAAGCAACGCGAAGAACCUUACCUGGGCUUGACAUGCUAGGAUUAUCUUGAUGAAAGUCGAGUAGGCCCCGCAAGGGGUACAACUAGUACAGGUGCUGCAUGGCUGUCGUCAGCUCGUGUCGUGAGAUGUCGGGUUAAGUCCCUUAACGAGCGAAACCUUUGCCCUUAGUUGCCAUCGGGUUAUGCCGGGCACUCUAAGGGGACUGCCGGUGUCAAACCGGAGGAAGGUGGAGAUGACGUCAAGUCCUCAUGGCCUUUAUGCCCAGGACUACACACGUGCUACAAUGGCGUCCACAAAGCGAGCCGAGAGCGCAAGCUGGAGGAAAUCGCAGAAAUGACGCCCCAGUUC
rnacentral:rRNA from 1 species